UACGUAGGGGGCGAGCGUUGUCCGAAGUUACUGGGCGUAAAGCGCGCGUAGGCGGGGGGUUAAGUGAGAGGUGAAAGGCUGGGGCUCAACCUCAUGCAGUGCCUCUCAUAAUGGCCUUCUUGAGGGCGGUAGGGAGAAGUGGAAUGGCUGGUGUAGCGGUGAAAUGCGUAGAUAUCAGUCGGAACACCCGUGGCGAAGGCGGUUCUCUGGGACGGUACUGACGCUGAGACGCGAAAGCGUGGGGAGCGAACAGG
rnacentral:rRNA from 1 species